rnacentral:rRNA from 1 species
CGCGUAGGUGGCUUUGUCAGGUCUGAUGUGAAAUCCUGGGGCUCAACUCCAGAACUGCAUCGGAAACCGGCUUGCUAGAGUCUGGGAGAGGAGAGUGGAAUUCCUGGUGUAGCGGUGAAAUGCGUAGAUAUCAGGAGGAACACCGGUAGCGAAGGCGGCUCUCUGGAACAGUACUGACGCUGAGGCGCGAAAGCUAGGGGAGCGAACAGGAUUAGAUACCCUGGUAGUCCUAGCCGUAAACGAUGGACACUAGGUGUCGGGGGUGUCGACUCCCUCGGUGCCGAAGCUAACGCAUUAAGUGUCCCGCCUGGGGAGUACGGCCGCAAGGCUAAA